UCCGAGUUGACCCCGGCGGUCUCCCGUGAGUCCCCAGCACCACAAGGGCCUGCUGGCAACACGGGACAAGGGUUGCGCUCGUUGCGGGACUUAACCCAACAUCUCACGACACGAGCUGACGACAGCCACGCAGCACCUGUCCUGGUGCCCCGAAGGGGGGCCCUGCUUUCACAGGGCUUUCACCAGGAUGUCAAGCCCAGGUAAGGUUCUUCGCGUUGCAUCGAAUUAAUCCGCAUGCUCCGCCGCUUGUGCGGGCCCCCGUCAAUUCCUUUGAGUUUUAGCCUUGCGGCCGUACUCCCCAGGCGGGGCGCUUAAUGCGUUAGCUGCGGCACGGAGGACGUGGAAUGUCCCCCACACCUGGCGCCCAACGUUUACGGCGUGGACUAC
rnacentral:misc_RNA from 1 species